GAUGAAGAACGUAGCGAAAUGCGAUAAGUAAUGUGAAUUGCAGAAUUCAGUGAAUCAUCGAGUCUUUGAACGCACAUUGCGCCCCCUGGUAUUCCGGGGGGCAUGCCUGUCCGAGCGUCAUUGCUGCCCUCAAGCACGGCUUGUGUGUUGGGCCCCGCCCCCGGGCUCCCGGGGGGCGGGCCCGAAAGGCAGCGGCGGCACCGCGUCCGGUCCUCGAGCGUAUGGGGCUUCGUCACCCGCUCCGUAGGCCCGGCCGGCGCCCGCCGGCGACCCCCCUCAAUCUUUUCAGGUUGACCUCGGAUCAGGUAGGGAUACCCGCUGAACUUAAGCAUAUCAAUAAGCGGAGGA
rnacentral:misc_RNA from 1 species